GGCCUACGGGAGGCAGCAGUGAGGAAUAUUGGUCAAUGGGCGGAAGCCUGAACCAGCCAAGUCGCGUGAGGGAAGAAGGCCCUGCGGGUCGCAGACCUCUUUGGACGGGGAGCAAGGCCGCCGACGUGUCGGCGGAAGGAGAGUACCCGUAGAACAAGCAUCGGCUAACUCCGUGCCAGCAGCCGCGGUAAUACGGAGGAUGCGAGCGUUAUCCGGAUUUAUUGGGUUUAAAGGGAGCGUAGGCGGAUUAUUAAGUCAGUUGUGAAAGUUUGCGGCUCAACCGUAAAAUCGCAGUUGAUACUGGG
rnacentral:rRNA from 1 species